GAACGCACAUUGCGCCCGGCAGUAAUCUGCCGGGCAUGCCUGUCCGAGCGUCAUUUCUGCCCUCGAGCGAGUCCAGCACCUAGGUGCCGGGCCCGCCCGGCGUUGGGGCACUACGGGAAGCCCUGUGCUGUCCCCCGUAGGCCCCGAAAUGAAGUGGCGGUCCUGCCGCGGCGCCCCCUGCGUAGUAUCACAGCUCGCUUCGGGACCCGGUGGAGGCCUGCCGUCAAACCUUACUCUCUAAGUUUGACCUCGGAUCAGGUAGGGUUACCCGCUGAACUUAAGC
rnacentral:misc_RNA from 1 species